UACGUAAGUGGCGAGCGUUAUCCGGAAUUACUGGGCGUAAAGGGCGCGUAGGCGGCCACCGCAAGUCGACUGUGAAAUCUCCGGGCUUAACCCGGAAAGGUCAGCCGAUACUGCGGGGCUAGAGUGCAGAAGGGGCAACUGGAAUUCUCGGUGUAGCGGUGAAAUGCGUAGAUAUCGAGAGGAACACCUGCGGCGAAGGCGGGUUGCUGGGCUGACACUGACGCUGAGGCGCGAAAGCUAGGGGAGCGAACGGG
rnacentral:rRNA from 1 species